AAAAGAUCGAAUGGGGAGAUUCAUCGACAGCGUGGCUGGCUUCCGUGCGGUUCGCGAUGACCGGGACCUCGGUCCCGCGUCACGCGUCCGCCGCGGUAUGUCCGGCCGCGUCGGCGCGCACUUCUCCCCUAGUAGGACGUCGCGACCCGUUGGGUGUCGGACCGACGGCCGUUUGGUCGCCUGUCUCGUCGCGUUCGCGCGUUUACGCGGCAGACCGAAAUGGUCGAGCGUCCGGCUGCCCGGCGGCAUANAACGCUACUGAACGGUAAUGAGCCGCANUAAGUGCGUCCAGGCUCGUCGGCAGGCUCGUCUCGCCCGGAUUUACGGACCUGGUGCCGUUGUCGGGUGCUUGCCGUGGCUGUUAGUCNGCGAUGUCCUCGGACUGGCUCUAAAUUCNAAAGGGUUACCGGUCGGCGACGCU
rnacentral:rRNA from 1 species